CCUACACUCUUAAAAAAGGAAUUGACAUACUAAGAACAGGAAAUAUUCAACCAGAAAGUCCUAAUAUAUCUUUGUUCUUGAGAAAUUUAAUCUUACCAACUACGGCUGAAAUACACAUUCACAAUACCCUCCAUGUGCCCCAGUAGGGCAUUUAGACCAACUGUGGGAUGAUCUAUGUGAAGUCAAGAAAGCUGAGACGAAGAUGGUUUCGUGUUAUGGAAUAUUCCAGAAGCUCAGGACGGGACCCAACCUUCCAAACCUCACAAUGUUCAUUCUCAGCUAUUCAUACUUAUUACCCUUUAAUAAAACCUACUAUUAUAAAUUCAAUCUACUCUGGAGUACCUCUGUUUUAGCCAGGUGCAUACUUUUUGCUGUAUAACUUAAAUUUUAAAAAGGACACAUGCCUUUAAUUGAAAAAUACACAAUGCAAUCUCCUUUGGGAGAUCUCUGUAUGGCUUUGGGAAUUUUGAUGUAGAAUAAAUGAAUGCCAUCAGAGCCCCUUUCAGGCUUAUGCAGAAAUCUCCAUCCCACUGCACCGCCAGCCGGUACCUCUUACACUGUCUUUCCCUCUCACCCGCUGCCCAGCCCCUGCCCUUUUCCCCCAUCCCUUCUACUUCUCAUUUUGGCUUUGCAAGUAACCAAAACAAUUGAAU
rnacentral:lncRNA from 1 species